AGCCUCCUACGGGACGCAGCAGUGGGGAAUAUUGCACAAUGGGGGAAACCCUGAUGCAGCGACGCCGCGUGAGUGAAGAAGUAAUUCGUUACGUAAAGCUCUAUCAGCAGGGAAGAGAAUGACGGUACCUGAGUAAGAAGCCCCGGCUAACUACGUGCCAGCAGCCGCGGUAAUACGUAGGGGGCAAGCGUUAUCCGGAUUUACUAGGUGUAAAGGGAGCGUAGACGGCAGAGAAAGUCUGAAGUGAAAGCCCGCGGCUCAAC
rnacentral:rRNA from 1 species